rnacentral:rRNA from 1 species
CCCCUAGAUGUUCUGGGCCGCACGCGCGCUACACUGAACAGUUCAACAAGUCUUAACCUUGGCCGAUAGGUCUGGGUAAUCUUUGAACGCUGUUCGUGAUUGGGAUAGACCUUUGCAAUUAUGGGUCUUCAACGAGGAAUUCCUAGUAAACGCAAGUCAUCAGCUUGCAUUGAUUACGUCCCUGCCCUUUGUACACACCGCCCGUCGCACCUACCGAUUGACUGGUCCGGUGAAAUCUCGGGACGGCGGCUUGGUCGCUUGCGUCCGACUGCUGAAACUUGAUUAAACCAUAUCAUUUAGAGGAAGGUGAAGUCGUAACA